AACGGAAGGUUUGUAUGUAACAGUCUGAGAACUAGGGUUUGGAGUUUCAAGGUUCGCAUCUCAAAGUUUGGAAUUUUAGGGUUUGACAUGGAUUACCUUGAAGCCUCAACGCUGACCAUGCUUGCGGCUUCAGAUGAGUUGAGCAGAGUCGAAAAGGAAAGCGAUCUCCUGCACGAUAAUUAGACUUUGGCUCUGGAAUUGCAUGAAGUGAUGCCAUUGGUUUUCAGAUUGGUCCCAGUACCUGAACCAAAGUGAACAACGCAUCCUUUUUCAUGAGGCACAAGCUUGGAUGUCACUAUGAUCAUUUUCCGUUCCAUCAGUUGAGUUUCACAAACGUGGUAGUCUUAGCUCAGACUUUUCGUGAGCGGAGGUUGAAUUGGGAAAAGGUACAUUCCACCAUUGUGAAGUGGAUGUAUGUAGCAUCUCAAAGAAUGUUUGAACAGAGUAAUAAACCCGAGAGGAAGCGAACGAGCUAAGCAGUCCAGGGGAGUUGUUGAAGGUCGUCUCCUCUUUGCCCAUGCAACGCAAUCCACGCAGCAAACGGCUACAAAAUUGUGCUGCGCAGGACUGAAGCAUAACAGUCACACGCUUCCACGGCGCUGCGCUAAUGGCGAUGGCCUUUCUAUCUCUGUUCAAUGCCAACCCCGCCUCCUCUUCUUCCUCUCACUUAAUUAUUAGAGGUUAUUAACUAUAAUAUGUAAAUUAAAAUUGUAAUGUUUAAUUGUUAUUUAAAAAUUAAAACACCAAUCAAU